AUAAAGUGCCAAAAUUGCAAGUAUUGUGUGAUUUUUGGGCAGAUCCUACAAUGAAAACAUAAAUGAUUUAUCUGGAAGCUCUACGCUAAAGCCUCUGAGAGAUGUUGUAAUUAUUUUUCAAAGGAAAAUUUUGUAUAUUUGAUUUGUUAAUACAUUUUGUUCCAAAAGAAAAGGAGAUAAAAAGUGUAUAUGUGGAGCUCUUUAC
rnacentral:lncRNA from 1 species